rnacentral:rRNA from 1 species
UACAGAGGUCUCAAGCGUUGUUCGGAUUCAUUGGGCGUAAAGGGCGCGUAGGCGGCGGGGUAAGUCGGGUGUGAAAUCUCAGAGCUCAACUCUGAAAUGGCACUUGAUACUGCUCUGCUAGAGGACUGGAGAGGAGAUUGGAAUUCACGGUGUAGCAGUGAAAUGCGUAGAUAUCUGGAGGAACACCGGUGGCGAAGGCGGCGUCCUGGACCAACACUGACACUGAGGAGCGAAAGCCAGGGGAGCAAACGGG